AUACUUACCUGGCAGGGCAAAUAAAUUUGCCACAAUCACGAAGGCAGUCUUCCCAGAAUGAAGCUCCCCCAUUGCACUCGGGGUGUGCUGACCCUGGCCAUCUCCCCAAAUGUGUGAAACCUGACUGCAUCAUUUGUGGUAGUGGGGACUGCGCUUGUGCUCUGCCCUG